rnacentral:lncRNA from 1 species
UCCACCUCUGGGGGCAGGGCACAGACAAACAAAAGGACAGCAGUAACCUCUGCAGACUUAAAUGUCCCUGUCUGACAGCUUUGAAGAGAGCAGUGGUUCUCCCAGCACGCAGCUGGAGAUCUGAGAACGGGCAGACUGCCUCCUCAAGUGUGUCCCUGACCCCUGACCCCUGAGCAGCCUAACUGGGAGGCACCCCCCAGUAGGGGCAGACUGACACUUCACACGGCCGGGUACUCCUCUGAGACAAAACUUCCAGAGGAAUGAUCAGACAGCUGCAUUCGCGGUUCAUGAAAAACUGCUGUUCUGCAAACACCGCUGCGGAUACCCAGGCAAACAGGGUCUGGAGUGGACCUCUAGCAAACUCCAACAGACCUGCAGCUGAGUGUCCUGUCUGUUAGAAGGAAAACUAACAAAGAGAAAGGACAUCCACACCAAAAACCCGUCUGUACAUCACCAUCAUCAAAGACCAAAAUUCAGUUCUAGGAAGUAAAACCAGCCCAUUGGUGGGUAACACAUGGAGAAACCAGGAAGCUCUGCUGGUGACUGAUAAGGUCAUGAGAUUCUGCUGAGACACAUAAAUCAACCAGCCACUGGAUCAAUCAGACAAGUGAGCUAGAAACAGUGGGGAGCUCUUCUCUUUCUAAAGAAGAACAGGAAAAACUUCCUCCCAUGGUGUGAC